rnacentral:tRNA from 1 species
CUCCAUCAUAGUGCUUGAACCCACGACCACAAGGUUAAGAGCCUUGUGCUCUACCAACUGAGCAAUGGA